rnacentral:lncRNA from 1 species
AUGUACCAAUGCAACAAUGCUGAUGUCAAAGGAAUGGCACUGAUCAAUAUUGGCUUCAAAAGAGCAAGAAGGAAUCAGGUUGUCUAUCUUCCCUCUACUUUGGUGCUUGGGUUCCAAAGACAAGCUCUCUUUAGUUCAUUAAAAAAGAAAUUUUCCAAGAUCGUAAGUGUGCGUUUUUUCGAACAUAUAAAUAUCUGCAGUUAUUUUCUUCACGUCAGAAUAGGAAAAGAGAAACAACUGUGCUGCAGUCCAUCAAUUCAGUUUCUGACAGAAACUUGUAUCCCAUGCUUCAGAAGAAGAUAAAAGCUAUACUAGACUUGGAAGAUGGGCUUUAUCAAUACCUCCAACCUCAGGUCUACUGAUCUCUAGUAGUGAUUUAUUAGCUUAAGUCCAGGGAGGAGAAGAAGCCUCAUAUGUUCCAAAGUGAAGCUUUUAACAAUUACACUCACCAGUCUUUUUUAUUAUCAUUAUGUAUUUUAAAUCUUUAUUUGACCUAUCUAUGUAUUUCUGGCCUCUAUGCCACGCUAAAGCUGUGCUAUCCAAUCUAAAUAACAAACUGAAAGAAAAUACAUGGGUGGUUUUUUGUUUGUUUGUCCAUGGUUUUGUUUGUUUGUUUGUUUGUUUUGUGUAGUUUUGAAUUCAGUCUCUCUUGAAUGUGACUGAAUGUGUCCUUGAUCUUGGGCUGGGUAAAAUUAGCAAUGAUCGUCCCAGUCAAACUUUGCCCUUUGUACAGUACGCACAGCAUAAAGGAGCGCAAGAACACAAGCCAGUAUUGGGGUGGGGAAAAAAGGACAUCCAUAAAUAUACAAUGAUUAAUAGGAAAAUAUUGAAAUGCAAGAGAGAUAGAGUGGUGAAAAUGGCAGUGGAAUGUGAAUCGUUUAUUCAGAAUACCUCCAAGAAAAACAACCCUGCUGGUAUCAGAACUAUUAUUUCACUGAGGAACUUCUCACCCAAGGAAGGCAAAUAAGAUUACAAAACUCAAAUAUGGCACAGCAGAACAAAAUUCCAGUUUCAAUUUCUCUUAUCCAGAAGUACUUUAUGGAAGAGUUUGAUUCAAAGUUAAAAGAGAUCUGUGCUUUACUUUGAACAGGGCCUUCAAAAAGUGUCUACCAAAGACAUCUCACUGAAAGAAAGCUAAAACACACCAUCUUGAGAUCUUGAGUUAUUCAUCAGCCUUACAGCAUUAUUUUCCAACUACAGCAAAAUCCAAUAGACAUUAUACGUACUUUCUCUUCAAAAAUAAUAAUAAUAAAAAAAAAUUAAAAAGGGUAAGUAAACUUACU